rnacentral:rRNA from 1 species
ACGAACGCUGGCGGCGUGCCUAACACAUGCAAGUCGAACGGAGAUUAUAGCAAUGUAAUCUUAGUGGCUGACGGGUGAGUAACGCGUGGGCAACCUACCUUUAACCGGGGGAUAACACAGGGAAACUUGUGCUAAUACCGCAUAAGAUCACGAUACGGCAUCGUAAAGUGAACAAAGGAGAAAUCCGGGGAGAGAUGGGCCCGCGUCCGAUUAGCUAGUUGGCGGUAUAACUGACCACCAAGGCGACGAUCGGUAGACGAACUGAGAGGGUGAUCGGCCACAUUGGGACUGAGACACGGCCCAGACUCCUACGGGAGGCAGCAGUGGGGGAUAUUGCGCAAUGGGGGGAACCCUGACGCAGCAACGCCGCGUGAAGGAUGAAGGUUUUCGGAUUGUAAACUUCUUUGAUGAGGGACGAACAAGAUGACGGUACCUCAAAAACAAGCCACGGCUAACUACGU